ensembl:snoRNA SNORA80E small nucleolar RNA, H/ACA box 80E
GCACGGUGAUUGAUGGCGGGCCCUUGACCGUGGGCCUCUCAGAGUGGACCCGUGCCAGAGGAAGUGCAGCCCCGAACCAUUGCCCAGCCUCCUGAUCGGUGGGCUGUGAGCACUGAAGGGGGCUGGACAGGG